UACAGAGGUCCCAAGCGUUGUUCGGAUUCACUGGGCGUAAAGGGUGCGUAGGUGGUGAGGUAAGUCGGAUGUGAAAUCUCGGAGCUCAACUCCGAAAUGGCAUUGGAAACUACCUCGCUAGAGGAUCGGAGGGGAGACUGGAAUUCUCGGUGUAGCAGUGAAAUGCGUAGAUAUCGAGAGGAACACCUGCGGCGAAGGCGGGUUGCUGGGCCGACACUGACGCUGAUGCGCGAAAGCCAGGGGAGCGAACGGG
rnacentral:rRNA from 1 species